rnacentral:rRNA from 1 species
UACGAAGGGGGCGAGCGUUGUUCGGAUUUACUGGGCGUAAAGCGCGCGCGGGCGGUUAAGCAAGUCAGGGGUGAAAGCCCGGGGCUCAACCUCGGAACGGCCUUUGAGACUGCUUGACUUGAGACCGGAAGAGGAGAGUGGAAUUCCCGGUGUAGAGGUGAAAUUCGUAGAUAUUGGGAAGAACACCAGUGGCGGAGGCGGCUCUCUGGUCCGGUACUGACGCUGAGGCGCGAAAGCGUGGGGAGCAAACAGG